AUACAGAGGGUGCGAGCGUUAAUCGGAAUUACUGGGCGUAAAGCGCGCGUAGGCGGCUUAUUAAGUCAGAUGUGAAAUCCCCGGGCUCAACCUGGGAACUGCAUCUGAUACUGGUAAGCUAGAGUUUGGGAGAGGGAAGUAGAAUUUCAGGUGUAGCGGUGAAAUGCAUAGAGAUCUGAAGGAAUACCAGUGGCGAAGGCGACUUCCUGGCCUAAAACUGACGCUGAGGUGCGAAAGCGUGGGUAGCAAACGGGAUUAGAAACCCGAGUAGUCC
rnacentral:rRNA from 1 species